ACCGAAUGGCGUAGUGGUUACUGAAUCUGACUACUGAGCCGAAGGUCCCGGGUUCGAUUCCCGGCUGCGGCA
rnacentral:tRNA from 1 species